rnacentral:rRNA from 1 species
CCUUGACCUCAAAUCGGGUGAGACUACCCGCU